GUCCUCGCUUCAGCAGCACAUAUACUAAAAUUGGAACGAUACAAAGAAGAUUAGCAUGGCCCCUGUGCAAGGACGACGCGCAAAUUUGCGAAGCAUUCUGUAUUUUA
ensembl:snRNA U6 U6 spliceosomal RNA